rnacentral:rRNA from 1 species
UGGGGAAUAUUGCACAAUGGAGGGAACUCUGACGCAGCGACGCCGCGUGAACGAAGAAGGCUUUCGAGUCGUAAAGUUCUUUUAUAUGGGAAGAUAAUGACGGUACCAUAAGAAAAAGCCCCGGCUAACUACGUGCCAGCAGCCGCGGUAAUACGUAGGGGGCUAGCGUUGUCCGGAAUCACUGGGCGUAAAGGGUUCGCAGGCGGAAAUGCAAGUCAGGUGUAAAAGGCAGUAGCUUAACUACUGUAAGCAUUUGAAACUGCAUAUCUUGAGAAGAGUAGAGGUAAGUGGAAUUUUUAGUGUAGCGGUGAAAUGCGUAGAUAUUAAAAAGAAUACCGGUGGCGAAGGCGGCUUACUGGGCUCAUUCUGACGCUGAGGAACGAAAGCGUGGGUAGCAAACAGG